ensembl:lncRNA
GUAAACUCUAGAUUUUAUUUUUACAGAGUCUCACUAUGUCAGCUAGGCUGGUCUCAAACUCUAGACCCUCUUAGUCUGUGCCCCUGAGUGCUGGGAGUACAGGUGUGAGCCCAUGAGUGCUGGGAGUACAGGUGUGAGCCCCUGAGUGCUGGGAUUACAGGUGUGAGCCCAUGAGUGCUGGGAGUACAGGUGUGAGCCCCUGAGUGCUGGGAGUACAGGUGUGAGCCCAUGAGUGCUGGGAGUACAGGUGUGAGCCCAUGAGUGCUGGGAGUACAGGUGUGAGCCCAUGAGUGCUGGGAGUACAGGUGUGAGCCCCUGGGUCCUGGGAGUACAGGUGUGAGCCCCUGAGUGCUAGGAUUACAGGUGUGAGCCCAUUGGUGCUGGGAUUACACGUGUGAGUCUCUGAGUGCUGGGAUUACAGGUGUGAGCCCCUGAGUGCUGGGAGUACAGGUGUGAGCUCCUGAGUGCUGGGAGUACAGGUGUGAAUCUCUGAGUGCUGGGAUUACAGGUGUGAGCUCCUGAGUGCUGGGAGUACAGGUGUGAGUCUCUGAGUGCUGGGAUUACAGGUGUGAGCCCCUGAGUGCUGGGAGUACAGGUGUGAGCUACCACAUCUGGCUUAAGUAUCUAGUUGGGUAAUCAUUUGCAAGCCAUGCCUGUCUGAUUCCUGGGAAGUGGUCUUACAUGUCUUCUAGUUAGACAGCAGAUAAAUGGGUAGGAUAGGGAAGAGAAAAAAAAUACACAGGUGGCAAACAAUUAAAAAUAAUGUGGAGCUGGUUUAAUAGUAAAGUUGAUUAUUUUACUUCUCAGCACACAUAGAAAGAAGUGGGUCAUCGCCAUUACUGGUCAUUGCUUGUUUGAGCAUGCCUUCUUGAGUACUGCUAAGAACCAGGGCUGACAUGCCAGAAAUGUAGUUCUGAGAUGGUAGUCAUGGUUGAGGUUAUUCAACACUCAGGCUCAGUUCAGAUUAUAGAAGGUUUCAGGGGAUCUUCCCUUCUUCCUUCCUUCCUUUCUUUCUCUCUCUCUCUCUUUUUCUUUCUUUCUUUCUUUCUUUCUUUCUUUCUUUCUUUCUUUCUCUUUCUUCCUGUCUGUCUGUCUUUCUUUCUUUCUUUCUUUCUUUCUUUCUUUCUUUCUUUCUUUCUUCCUUUCUUUCUUUCUUUCUUUCUUUCUCUUUCUUCCUGUCUGUC